CUAACCUCCACAGCCAGGGUGGAAGCCACAGAACACUCAGAGACAGCAGUCAAAGAGGCCACUUCUGCACUGCCUGGACCAGAGACUGCAAACUGCCCUUCAAGCUGCAUUUCAAGUGCCUUCUGUGUGUGUGUCCACGUGUUCCCCUAAGCGACUGGGCUACACCAGUCCACCACAAAGGGGAGAAACCAAGACACCGAGAACACAGCUUAAUAGAUCUGUGAUUUGGAAUUCUGAUCCUGGCUCUACCACUCCUGGCUUGUUGUCUCUCCUGUAAAAUGAAAAUGACGAUGGCUUUACC
rnacentral:lncRNA from 1 species